AGCACCUUGAGUGGCCGUGGCAGCGGCUGCCCGGAGGGGCUCGGGGCAUGCGAGCCUGGCAGUGGUGCUCUGGGAAGGGCCAUUCUUGCAGGGGAGGGCGGGGCACAGGAUCCCUCUGCUGGGUCCCAGGGAAUUGCUUUGAAGCACAUGAAGGUGCCACUGGGUCUCAGAAAAUGGAGGUUAUGGUUAUGAAGUGUGUAUGACAUAUGUGUAUAGGAAGAGCGUCCGAAAGAGCAGGUUUGUCGCCGACCCCAGCACUCGCGACCCUGAGGUCCACAGCUUUCUCCUGAUGGGAGGUGAAUGGGUGGCAAAGGGUCUGCGCGUGUGGCAAGGGCUAGCACGCCAGGAGCUGCUGGCUUGGGUCAAGGUGGACCUGCUGGGCAGGGACAGAAAAGUGUCAGUCCCAGCCUGAGACGCUCUAGCAUUAGAGCUGUCCAAGUCCAGACAGCAGGGAGCAGGUGGGGAUCGGGAGGCGCGGAUCUGGGGGGCAGCUGGGGCCAGGCUGAAACAGAGCGGGCGGGACAGGAAGCACAGGCUGGGCAGCCUCCCCGGCCAGGGAGGAGCCAGGCUGGGCCAUCUCCAGGUCUGUCUGCCGACUACCCGCAGUAUCACUUACAGGGAUGGAUGACAUCCCAGGGCUGCUGCCACCCCCACCUGUGGGGAGACACCAGACUGGGGGUGGUGUGGAGAUACUCUUAGAGAAGAGGCUGCUGGGCCACGGGCUCGGCAUGGCAGGGCAGUGGCUAGCAGCUCAUCUGAUUUUAAGGGGCUUGCUGCCCUUGCAGAAGUGGAGGGGUGUGCCCAAAGGAGCCUGCCUGGAAGGUCACCCCAUCAGGUUGGCAUGACCCCAGCCCAGGACUGCAGCCUGCCCUCAAGGUCUGUGUAGUAUCUAGGGUGAGUCCUCUGAGGACAGGGCCCAGGGUGGGUGUGGAGUGGCCAGCUCGGGGCUUGGUGUCCAGGCUCACUUUCAGGGGCCACAGCACAGACCUGCCCUUCCAGUCUUCCCUGAGCUUGGCUGGGGAGGUGGGGGCUGCAGGAAGGAGCUGUGAGCAGGGCAGGAUGGAGAGUCAUGUGGCUCUCCUGGGAGGGGCUGGGCAGGGCUGGGAAAGGGGUGGGUGAGAUGUUCUGGAACUCAGGGAAAGGAAGAGUCUGGGUACUGCCCUGAGGGCACCUGGGCCCAGGUGGCAGGUGGCCAGUUUUCUGCCUCCUUUCCACCUCCUUUUUCCAGAAGGCACCCACCGGCUGUGUAAAUAGGGCAGGUGCCCACGGCCCGCCUCAGGCCCCGUCUCCUCCCCACCCACGCUCUCUAAUCGCGGAUUAUACACAAUCCAGCCUGAUCCCUGGGUAGCUGCCCUCCCUCCCGCAGCCACCUCUGGCUCUGAGAGAUGGGGUUGGGGCCAGCCUGGGGUCCCAGGAGUCCAGGCCAGGAUGAGAACCUGCUCUGACCCCACCUGGACGCAUUAGGCCUGCCUGGACCUGUUGCCUCACCCCAGGAGAGCCACAGGCAAUGCAAAGGCUCCUGUUCAUGUCAGGGCACCUGGAAGGCCUGACUUGCAGAGGCUCUUGGCUCGUGCAGACCCCUCCAAGCCCAGGCCCUGCCCACCACCUCCCCUUUGUCUCUGGAACUGCCAGGACAGCUUGUCCUCAGCCAGCAGGUUUCCCCACCCGGGCACCUCUUCAUGUUGGGCCCCCCUCCUUUCCCUCCAUCAGGGAUCAUGCCCUUCUUCAGGGGCCUGGAUAUCAAAGACACAAAAGCUCCCAUGUGCUAUGUGGGGAGGCAGAGUGGGGGCUGGGUUGAGCUGGGGUCUGGGCAGUGCCAUUCCGCAGGGCAGGGGCAGCCUAGGCUUCCCAUCUGUGGAAUGGAUGGGUGGGUCUCACAACGGACCUGCUUCCCGUACUUCAGCACGGUUACCACUCUUGAUUGGAACUCUGACCAUGCAUCUCCUCUUCUGUUUACUUUACGCUUUCUGUUCCCAUCAACUCCCGUUUUAAUUACAAUUUGUUUAAAAGCACUGCAUAUUACUUCAUUAAACAGAAGAUUAGCUUCACUUACCAUUAGUGUAAGGUGACUAUAGAACCAAAGCAGACUGGAAACCAAAUGACAUAAUGUCAUUCUCUUCUCCAUUCCAGCUGCCUGCUGCUGUGCGCCUGAGAACCCCUGUGGAGUGGGAGGGGCAGCUGUCUCUGUACAUUAGAAAGGGGGCUUAACUAAGUGACAGGAGGUGUUUGGGACAUGUGGACACCAGACUUCUCUCUUGAUGCAAGGAGGGCAGAGCCAGGCAGCCUAGUGGGGCCUGGCUUGGGGGCUGCUGGAAGGACUGGCUACAGGUGGAAGAGAGGUCAGACCUGAAGCUUGGGGCCACCUCCAGGAAAGGACAGGUGAAAGUGGAGGCAUGAGGCAGGGGAGAGGCAGGUGCCAGGCAGAGGGUGGAGAGGAGGCAGGAACAUAGCAGCUGGGGCGGGGGCGGGCCCUCAAGUGUCAUAUGCUACUUUCCUGGGGCGCAGGGGCAAGGACAGGAACAGCCACAGCAUGUGUUGGGACAGAGCCCUGUGCCUUCCUAGAGCUGGGCAGGUGGAAUGGGGCAGGAAUGGGACUCGUGGUGGCUGCAGCAGGAACUGGAGGGGAAGGGGCUUCUGGAUCCUGCAGCCUACCUUCCUAGAGGCCAGCUUUCUGGGGUCCACCAGGUGGGUGGGAACUGGGCUUGUGUAGCAAGACUGCCCUGAGGACCAUCCAUGACAUGGUCUAGAUGAAAGUUAGGCAAGAAAGGGAGAUAAGCUGGCAGCAGAAGUACAGCUGGGUCAGGAGCAAGGGCCUUUCCAGAUAGGGACAACCCACGAGUGCACGUGCCCACGCCACACAACACAGGCACACACGACACGUGCACACUCACAGGCACUGCACACACACAUGCACAGGUGCUCAUGCAUAUGUAUGAGCUUCAUCUACACACAUUCACAUGCCGUCCUGCUCGUGUGCAUGUUUCCAUACAUGCACAUGAAUGCACAAUCACGUGUACACAUGCAUGUGAUCACAUACAUGAACAUGUGUGCACCCCACUCCUCAGGUGCCAUCGGGCUCCUCCUCCUGUCACUGUGCAGCAGGGGACAUGAGGCCCCAGAGCAGACAGGUGCAGCACAGGUGUUCCCAGGCAGCGCCCCACACACAUGCAUGAGCACACCUGGGCGUGUGGCGCCUCCUUUGUGGACUCAGUCCACCUGCCAGGUGGGCUCCCUGGUGGUGUGAACUCCCAGAGGUCUGGCAAGAGAGAUAAAGGCAACCCCACCACCAGGGGUGCUGAGAAUUCCCUCUUCUGGCUGGGCACAGUGGCUCAUGCCUGUAAUCCCAGCACUUUGGGAGGCCGAGGUGGGCAGAUCACUUGAGGUCAGGAGUUUGAGACCAGCCUGGCCAACAUGGUGAAACCUCAUCUCCACUAAAAAUAUACACACACAAAAAAAUUAGCUGGGUGUGAUGGUGUGCACCUGUAGUUCCAGCUACUCGGGAGGCUGAGGCAGGAGAAUCGCUUGAACCUGGGAGUCAGAGACUGCAGUGAGCUGAGAUCAUGCCACUGCACUCCAGUCCGGGUGACAGAGUGAGACUCCAUCUCAAAAAAAAAAAAAAAAAAAAAAGAACUCCCUCCUCUGGGAAUUUAGA